rnacentral:rRNA from 1 species
UACGGGAGGCAGCAGUGAGGAAUAUUGGACAAUGGCCGGAAGGCUGAUCCAGCCAUGCCGCGUGAAGGAAGAAGGUCCUAUGGAUUGUAAACUUCUUUUGUACGGGAGCAAUAAGGUAGUCGUGACUACUGAUGAGAGUACCGUACGAAUAAGCAUCGGCUAAACU